rnacentral:rRNA from 1 species
AUCGAACGCUGGCGGCAGGCCUAACACAUGCAAGUCGAGCGGAGCGGCGGACGGGUGAGUAAUGCCUAGGAAUCUGCCUGGUAGUGGUGGAUAACGUCCGGAAACGGGCGCCAAUACCGAAUAAUAUCAGAUGAGACUAGGUCGGAUUAGCUAGUUGGUGGGGUAAAGGCCUACAAGGGCGACGAUCCGUAACUGGUCUGAGAGGAUGAUGAGGCACACGGGAACUGAGACACGGUCCAGACUCCUACGGGAGGCAGCAGUGGGGAAUAUUGGACAAUGGGCGAAAGCCUGAUCCAGCCAGGCCGCGUGUGUGAAGAAGGUCUUCGGAUUGUAAAGCACUUUAAGUUGGGAGGCGUUACCAGCAGAAUAAGCACCGGCUAACUUCGUGCCAGCAGCCGCGGUAAUUC